CAGCCCAAGGCCGGAAAAGACCAGGCAAGGUGUCAGCAGCCCAAGCUGAGAAACAUCUUGUCGUGUUCAAGAAGAGUGGAACGAGUAUUCAAGAACAUGUUGAUGCAAUCAAAUGCACCACUCAACCGUAUCUUCUUGCUGUUGGGAUGAAGAGGAGCACCAUCCAUGAGUUCUUCAUCAUUCUGGACAAGCAGGUCAUACCGUUCAAGUCAUCCAGUACCCUCGGAGCUUUUGACGAACUCUUUAAAGCACACUUUGUAUUUGGUACCAUGUACAACCAGAUGCUCCACAACAUGUACACCUUCAUUCAGACAACCAUUUACAAUAUUGGUCAAGUCCAGGAGAGCCCACGUGUUGCUGAGGUUAGGGCCAGGCUGCUGCACUAGUUAAUAGAUGACUCAGGGUCAGCAACAUAUUUGUCACUUUUCACUAAAAGCUAUUGUAUCUGUAUUUUGAGUGAUUUUCCCAUGUCACUCAGCCUUAAUUGAUAUCAUGGGCCUGAUUUGUUUUGUUUGCCACUGUCAUUUUGUGGGAACCAAUGCCCUUGUGAGGCAUUUGCGGUUGAUUCAUGGUUUAUAUCCAGGUAAAUCACUUCGCCUAAAAUGUGCUCAGGGAGGAUGUUGUCGUGUUCUUAGUACCUUUUUUACCUAAGGUACCUUAGUACCUUAGAUUUUGGUUUGACUUGGUUGAUUGUUUCCAAGUGAUGGCAAAGUUUGCUCUUGGUUUAACACUGCUGAAAUUAUUCAAUGUGUAGUGUUAUAAAUGCACUUUAAAGACAUUUUCAUGGCUGUGAGAAAUGUCAAUACAGUAUUAUGCAGUUUAACAUGUACCAAGAGAUUUUCUCCAGCGUUCAACUGAACAUAUGUUUUUAUAAUGGAGACUGUGAUAAGAUUUGAGCUUUUAAAUGUUUACUUUUAAUGCCAAUAUUUCAUGUUUACUUGGAAUAAAUAUGUAUUAAGGCA